CGUGAGAUGCUUGAGAAGAAAUACCAACUUGGAUUGUCAGACAUGAAAGUUCAUAGGGCGAAAACGAAAGCCCUGGAAUCAAUUAGGGGAGAUUUUGCUGCUCAGUACUCAUGUCUAAGAGACUACUUACAGGAGGUGCAGAGUAGAAAUCCAAACACCACAGUCAAACUUCAAGUGCAAAGUGAACCAUGUUAUGCAUCUGAGACCAGGGUAUUUGAACGAGUAUACAUUUGUCUUGGUCCACUGAAAAGUGGAUUUGCAGCAGGGAAAAGAGAUUUACUAGGGCUUGAUGGUGCAUUCAUGAAGGGUCCAUACCAUGGUAUGAUCCUGACAGCAGUGAUGGGAACAAUUGCACAUACCCUUUGGCAUAUGCAGUUGUUGAAGCAGAGAACUUUAAUUCAUGGACCUGGUUUUUAACUAACUUAGGAGAUGAUCUUGGUUUGUAUGCAAACUCCAACUUCACUUUCAUAUCAGAUAGACAGAAGGGGUUAUUGCCUGCACUUGAGAAACUUUUCCCAGCAGCAGAGCAUAGAUAUUGCCUAAGGCAUCUUCAUGAGAACAUGAAACGUAAAUGGAGGGGCAAGGAAUUCAAGGAUUGUCUUUGGAAAUGUGCAACAUGUACCACCAUACCACAAUUCAACAGUGCCAUGGAAGAACUAAAGAAACUUAACAGUGAAGCAUAUGACUGGCUUAAUUCUAUUCCACCUAAGCACUGGUCCAGAUCC